rnacentral:tRNA from 1 species
GGGGAUUUAGCUUAGUGGUAGAGCACUUGCCUAGCAAGUGCAAGGCCCUGGGUUCAGUCCUCA